AGCGAACGCUGGCGGCAGGCUUAACACAUGCAAGUCGAACGGGCGUAGCAAUACGUCAGUGGCAGACGGGUGAGUAACGCGUGGGAACGUACCUUUUGGUUCGGAACAACCCAGGGAAACUUGGGCUAAUACCGGAUAAGCCCUUACGGGGAAAGAUUUAUCGCCGAAAGAUCGGCCCGCGUCUGAUUAGCUAGUUGGUGUGGUAACGGCGCACCAAGGCGACGAUCAGUAGCUGGUCUGAGAGGAUGAUCAGCCACAUUGGGACUGAGACACGGCCCAAACUCCUACGGGAGGCAGCAGUGGGGAAUAUUGGACAAUGGGCGCAAGCCUGAUCCAGCCAUGCCGCGUGAGUGAUGAAGGCCCUAGGGUUGUAAAGCUCUUUGUGCGGGAAGAUAAUGACGGUACCGCAAGAAUAAGCCCCGGCUAACUUCGUGCCAGCAGCCGCCGCAGUAAU
rnacentral:rRNA from 1 species